GAUGAACGCUGGCUACAGGCUUAACACAUGCAAGUCGUGGGGAAACGGCAUUAUGUGCUUGCACAUUCUGGACGUCGACCGGCGCACGGGUGAGUAUCGCGUAUCCAACCUGCCCCUUACUUGGGGAUACCCCGUUGAAAGACGGCCUAAUACCCGAUGUGUUUCAUUGACGGCAUCCGAUAUGAAACAAAGGUUUUCCGGUAAGGGAUGGGGAUGCGUCUGAUUAGCUUGUUGGCGGGGCAACGGCCCACCAAGGCGACGAUCAGUAGGGGUUCUGAGAGGAAGGUCCCCCACAUUGGAACUGAGACACGGUCCAAACUCCUACGGGAGGCAGCAGUGAGGAAUAUUGGUCAAUGGACGCAAGUCUGAACCAGCCAAGUAGCGUGCAGGAUGACGGCCCUAUGGGUUGUAAACUGCUUUUAUGUGGGAAUAAAGUGGCGCACGUGUGCGCCAUUGCAUGUACCUCAUGAAUAAGGACCGGCUAAUUCCGUGCCAGCAGCCGCGGUAAUACGGAAGGUCCGGGCGUUAUCCGGAUUUAUUGGGGUUUAAAGGGAGUGUAGGCGGUCUGUUAAGCGUGUUGUGAAAUUUAGGUGCUCAACAUUUAACUUGCAGCGCGAACUGUCAGACUUGAGUACACGCAGCGCAGGCGGAAUUCAUGGUGUAGCGGGUGAAAUGCUUAGAUAUCAUGAGGAACUCCGAUCGCGAAGGCAGCCUGCGGGAGUGUUACUGACGCUUAAGCUCGAGGUGCGGGUAUCUAACAGGAUUAUAUACCCUGGUAGUCCAAGGGCGAAUUCUACAGUGGAUAUCAGGCUAUCCAUAUCGGUCGACCUC
rnacentral:rRNA from 1 species